ACUAAGUGUGGCCUCAGCAAGACCUGCCCAUCCAACUUCUUUGCAUUUAAGAUCAGCAGUGGGGCUGCCAACGUCGUGGGCCCCUCUAUGUGCUUUGAAAAUCAGAUCAUCAUGAGUCCGGUGAAAAACAACGUGGGCAGAGGCCUGAACAUCGCCCUGGUGAACGGAACCACGGGACUGCUGCUGAGACACAGCUCCUUUGACAUGUACUCUGGAGGUAAGCCCGUGUGGGCACAUGCACACACACCCCACCAUGACAGGACCAGGGAGUGCGGAGAGGGCUGCUGGCGCUUGCUCUCAUGGGAGAUGACAGCGCCUGAACUCCAGGUAGACUGCCUUCCCGCUGGCCCAGCGAGGCUUUCCCAUGUGCAGGUCUCAAGACAAGGACCCAAGGGC